rnacentral:rRNA from 1 species
GAUCAUGGCUCAGGAUGAACGCUGGCGGCGUGCUUAACACAUGCAAGUCGAGCGAAGCAAUCUAAGUGAAGUUUUCGGAUGGAUCUUGGAUUGACUGAGCGGCGGACGGGUGAGUAACGCGUGGAUAACCUGCCUCACACAGGGGGAUAACAGUUAGAAAUGACUGCUAAUGCCGCAUAAGCGCACAGUACCGCAUGGUACAGUGUGAAAAACUCCGGUGGUGUG